AUAUACGUAAAUAAUUUACUAUAUUCAAUAUUACAGCUAUACCAAUUUCCCUAAGCUCAUUACAUGGAUUUGUACUGGGCUUUUUUUU
rnacentral:sRNA from 1 species